UCAGGGAAUCCUGUCGCAGGAGUGAUGGGACCGGCCUAUGGUACAUAUAUGAAUAUUUAUGAUAUGAAUAUUAUCAUAUAGUGGUGCCAUCCUCCUGCGACAUGAUUCCCUUCAA
rnacentral:pre_miRNA from 1 species